ACUCCUACGGGAGGCAGCAGUAGGGAAUAUUGGACAAUGGGCGAAAGCCUGAUCCAGCAAUGCCGCGUGAGUGAUGAAGGCCUUAGGGUUGUAAAGCUCUUUUACCCGGGAUGAUAAUGACAGUACCGGGAGAAUAAGCUCCGGCUAACUCCGUGCCAGCAGCCGCGGUAAUACGGAGGGAGCUAGCGUUGUUCGGAAUUACUGGGCGUAAAGCGCACGUAGGCGGCUAUUCAAGUCAGAGGUGAAAGCCCGGGGCUCAACCCCGGAACUGCAUUUGAAACUGGCAGGCUAGAGUCUUGUAGAGGGGGGUAGAAUUUCAGGUGUAGCGGUGAAAUGCGUAGAGAUCUGAAGGAAUACCAGUGGCGAAGGCGGCCCCUGGACAAAGACUGACGCUCAGAUGCGAAAGCGUGGGAGCAAACAGGAUUAGAUACCCUGGUAGACUGUCA
rnacentral:rRNA from 1 species